rnacentral:lncRNA from 1 species
GAGGGAGGGAGAUGCCCAAGGGAGCAUGCUAAUAGGAGGGCACGCCCAUGGGAGAUGUCCUCCAUGCCUAGCCCAACAAUUGAUUUAUUUUCUCCUUCUCCUAAUCCCUUCUUAAAUAGGCAAGGGGUCCUAGAUCAAAUCAAACUCUUUUAGGUGUAAGAAUUAGGACUCUCCAUGUUUGGAUCAAAUCCAAACUCCAUAAAAUAUAAGGAUUCCUAAUGCAAGUAGGAGAGAUGUCUCCCUUCAUGAUGCCGCACGCC